AAACACAGAAACACACGCACAAAUACACUGAACUUUAAUGGUGAUCUUUAUUCAAAUUACAGUUUCUGUGCACACCUGUAAUCCCAGCUACUCCAGAAGUUGAUGGGAGCAUCCCUUGAGCCCAGGAGUUCAAGUCCAGCCUGGGCAACAUAGUGAAAUCCCACCUCUCAAUCUUUUAAAAAAUUAAAUUACAACUUCCCAUAUUAUAAAAAAGUACUGCAGCUCCAAGCUUGAAUGGAAAUUCAUUAGAUUUUUAUAAAUUUGAAGGAAGUUUAUUUCUGAAAAUAAAUUUUGUUGAAUUUCUUCUUAAGGUGGAAAUUUGUUUUUCAUUCCUUUUCUUUGCAUGUGAGUUUUGUAUCAGUUGUGGAACUCUAUAGCUCCACUACAUAUUUGGGUAUUUGAAUAUUUGAAUCUGUUGUGCUUUUUCCAGGAAAUUCUGAAUUUUAGGAUAGUCUACAGGUACCAUAAAUUGAGAAGUCCAAACAAUUCAUUAUCUUCCUUGAAGCCCAAACCUGCCAUUUUUCUCAGAUAGGAAAGCCACCAAACAUAGGGAGCAUGCCUGCCACUUCCCUCUGGCCCGUCUCUGGCUCAUCCGCCACAGAGACCUAUUUAUUACAUCCCCUGAGUAUUCUUCUAAUUCCCCCUCCUUUCCAUCCCCACUCUUUCAGCCACACUUCAGGACCAUGGUCUGUGCAUCGCUUAGUCUCAUCCUAAUUUAUCCGCAGCUCCACCCACUCCAACCUCCUCUCCCCUCUCUAAGACAACCUUUACUUCCCCACCUAUGCCUGUUCCAAUUUACUGUCUCUGAACCCCACAUAUGCCCUUUUCUGCCCUACAUUAUGAUAACUGGAGCUGGACCUAAUUUCUUUCGUUAGCGGGCACAAUGUUAGACCUUGUCAGUAGAGGGCGCUAGAGGGACACUGCACAAGGAAGGGGCUUCUCUUCUGGUUCCAGCUCUGUUCUUAGAAAACAAUGAGCUGUCUCCUUGCCAACCAGCAGCUCCCUUGGUAGGGGCAUGCAGAAGACCUGAUGACACAAACCCUCCAAAGAGUUUCACCCUCACCACAACAGGUGGCUUCCUGCUCGGCAGCCCAUCCUGCAUCACUUCAGUGGACUUCUCUGACAUCUACUAGACCACAUUAAAUGAAUCACAGCCUUGAAACUGAACUGGAAGGACUUCCUUCAAGGAGCCAGCAUAUGAACUUGCUGCCUAUCUUUAGCAAGGAGAUGCAAAUGACAUCCACAAACCUCUUCUGCUGUAUACCUGGAUGAAAGCAAGGCUAGCUGUGUGUCCUGUGAGUAAGAAGGAAAGAUGCUUACCUUAGAUCCACCCAUAAUCUUCCCCUACUCCUACACCUCCAGUUGAGAAAGCUGUACUCAUUCUGAACAUCAGCUCAUCCUAGGGGAAUCACAGCUUUCUCCACAGAUACAGAACAAGGUGAAGAGCCCUAGGCUGUUCUAUUCCCUGGACCAAAGAUGAAACUGGGGUGAGGUACCUCUGGGUCACUGUUAAGAAGUAAAAUGUAGAGGCUCUUCAUUGCAGUAGUAUCUUAAGAAUUCCAAAAUCAGGCUACCACCUCUAAACCAGGCAAGAGGACAAUGAGACAAAGUGAUAAGCCUGAAGGGUUAGGAACCAUGAGGAGCUUAUGUCAGGGAGAUUCUGAGAGAAGGAAGGGAGGAGAGACCCAAAGAAACUUCAUGGAGCUAAUGAACAAGCACCCACAGAGGAUUUAUAUACAAUAUCUGCAACCAAGAGAGGGGUAUGCUAAUUUAGAGGAAACCAGAAGGUAGCCAACACCUUCAUUUCACAGCUGGCAGAAGGAAGAAAAAAAUGCUUACUUAAUUGUUGCUAAGAAUUGGUCUCUGCAGAAACGCUUCAGAGCAGAACACCCAGAAACACACUGCCAUGCUUGUUCAUAAUGUAUGAUAGCUGCCACCACUCACCCCCAAAACCACGCUUUCCAAGCUACGCAGAUCCACUGAGAUCCACACUUUAUAUGUCCUCACAACAAUCCCACACCCAGUGUGUUCGGGAUGAGGGCCAGGAGAAAAGCAUCCCAUUUUUCACCCAAAAAGGAGGCAUGAAAUUAAAUGUAACUCCAAGAGAUUUUGUGAGCACAUAUUAUUUGGGGACACAAACAUGAGAAAGACAUGGCCUUCUCUUCCUGAAAGAGUUCAUAGAGUCCAAAGUAAAAGACAAAUUGAUUUUAAAAAGUAAUUGCAAAACAAUUCAGGCCCUCAUGCAUGCAUGCAUUUAACAAACAUGCCCUGGUCACAGUUUGGAAGUAAAAGUAUAUGCAAAGUGGUAUAUGAGUACAGAGAUGCUACCACUUUACCAAGAACACAAAACAAAUAGGAAGAAACCUGACCAUUUAAGAUAAGAAAGGAUUCUAAUGAGUGUUUGCCCACUGUCCUUAGAAAGUCCUUAUAUCAAGGUAAAAAGAAGAGAAGUGACAUUUACUCAGCACUUUCCUCAUACAAUCUCUGGAAGGUCCAUGAAGACUGUGAGCUCUUUGAGGGCAAGAACCAUGUCCUACUUACCCCAGGAUCCCUGCCCUUCAUCAGUACCUGGUACAUAAUAGUUAAUAAAUAUGUUUUAGACUGAACUGACCUGAGGAUUUUCUAAGUCUUGUUUUUCUAACUUUAUAGAUGGCACCAAGGACUGAAAGAUUGUAAGAAGUAAGAGUAAGUAAAUUUUUAGCUGCUAUAUUCCCUAAUAGCUAGACUUUAAAAGUAUUUUUAACUCUUUUCCUCUAUUCUUGCUAGGUGAACAAGGCUAAAACCUGGGUUUAGUUUUCAUUUUAUAAAUUAUUCUUUAAAAAUAAAUUAUUUCAACUGUCUUGAAGAGUCUGUAAAACAAGGUCUGUGAAGUCACAGAGGGAAAAAGAAUCAGAAAUCAGUAGACAGCAGUUAGACCACGGGUGUUUGUUAUACAUUCGUUCUAGACAUUCAUCAAAAGCUCAGAAAGGGAAAGUCAAGCGUGCCAAAUCAAUAAAGUUUCUAUCGUAUUUCAUCUCUUUGGAUUUGCAGAAUGCUUUGGUAAUUCUGUUUCUCAAGCCUGCACAUCACGAGCAAACAAGUAUGCUUAUGGGUGUCUUAGCCCAGUAGGCUGUUUAUCAGAAAGCUACCAGUCCCCUGUGAGAAGCUGGCUUUCCUCCAAAAUGUAGAAGGUGUUUAAGGGGACAUAUUUCUUUGGUACACCCUAAAGCAAGCUUGUCCAAUGUGCAGCCUGCAGGCCGCAUGUGGCUCAGGACAGCUUUGAAUGUAGCCCAACAUAAAUUCAUAAACUUUCUUAAAACAUUGUGAUUUUUUUGU
rnacentral:lncRNA from 10 species